rnacentral:misc_RNA from 1 species
UCCGGCUUACACCGGCGGUCUCCUGUGAGUGCCCAGCUUUACCUGUUGGUAACACAGAACGAGGGUUGCGCUCGUUGGCGGACUUAACCGUACACCUCACGGCACGAGCUGACGACAGCCAUGCAACAUCUGUCUUCAGGUCCCCUUGUGGGGGAGGGCCCUAUCUCUAGAGCUUUCCAUCGAUGUCAAGAGUGGGUAAGGUUCUUCGGUUAGUAUCGAAUUAAUCCACAUGCUCCACCGCUUGUGCGGGUCCCCGUCAAUUCAUUUGAGUUUCAACCUUGCGGCCGUACUCCCCAGGCGGGAUACUUAAUGCGUUAGCUGCGGCACCGCGGGGGUCGAUACCCACGACGCCUAGUAUCCAUCGUUUAGGGCGUGGACUAC